rnacentral:tRNA from 1 species
AGUUAUGUAGUUUAUUAAAACAUCAAGUUGCAGCCUUGAAGAAGAGAUCACCUCCUUAACUU